rnacentral:rRNA from 1 species
GAUGAACGCUGGCGGCGUGCCUAAUACAUGCCAGUCGAGCGAACGGACGAGAAGCUUGCUUCUCUGAUGUUAGCGGCGGACGGGUGAGUAACACGUGGAUAACCUACCUAUAAGACUGGGAUAACUUCGGGAAACCGGAGCUAAUACCGGAUAAUAUUUUGAACCGCAUGGUUCAAAAGUGAAAGACGGUCUUGCUGUCACUUAUAGAUGGAUCCGCGCUGCAUUAGCUAGUUGGUAAGGUAACGGCUUACCAAGGCAACGAUGCAUAGCCGACCUGAGAGGGUGAUCGGCCACACUGGAAUUGAGACACGGUCCAGACUCCUACGGGAGGCAGCAGUAGGGAAUCUUCCGCAAUGGGCGAAAGCCUGACGGAGCAACGCCGCGUGAGUGAUGAAGGUCUUCGGAUCGUAAAACUCUGUUAUUAGGGAAGAACAUAUGUGUAAGUAACUGUGCACAUCUUGACGGUACCUAAUCAGAAAGCCACGGCUAACUACGUG